UAGAAGCGCGAACCAACCGAAAGUGGUUAAACCUAAAAACGUGAUACGGCCAGCCUGAGUUGUUCUGCAUCUGAUAUCGCAUCCGGCGUCGCCAUCCAGCCACACCGCUCCUGCUCCUUGCGUUGUGUAUGUUUGUCGCCUUCGUUCCUCUUCCUUAUUAAGUUAGUAUUGGUGUCUACGUGGCAGUGUCGGUAAUUUCUGGUUUUGCUCUUCAAUUAUUGUAUACCAAUGGAGCCUGCAAAAUUUGACCCAAGACACUCGGGAGAGCUGUUGAAGCAUAUGGAUAAGCAGAAUGAGGUCCUUAUGGAAGCAUACAGAUCAAUGUUGCAUGAAUUGCAAAAACUUCAGGUGGAAGAAGAGAUGCUUAUGCGCAAGCUUUACGAAGUUGUCCGUCCACGGUCUCAAUAAACAAGUUAAACGCUGUCAACUUUAUCUCAGAUUCUCAGUUGCCAACCUAUGUAUAUGAUAUUCCUGAAAUAUGUCCACAAACGUUUUGUGCAGUUUAAGUUUUGUGCAGAAUGAAGACAACUCCAACGCUUCCCAUGAUAGUGUUGGAGCUGAACUGUUCGAUUAUAGAGUCAAUACAAGAAAAAAAGAUCAAGAUGGGCUAAUUUUCUCAUAGAUUUGGUUUAUGACCAAAGUGUGUUAUAUGCUUGUAUUGAAUAUACAAUCAUGUAACCCAUAUAGAAAAAACAAAAGUACCAAAGAAAAAUAAAAGGAAGUAGAUCAAUGUUUGAUAUUAGUGAUGUAUAUAAUCUCUAUUUUAAAGAAGUUUAAAUAUAUCGGGGGUUCUCAGAAAUAUUCUAUUAUUCAAUUUUAGUUUCUAUAAAUUUUUCUUUCAACAAAUUGUCCUUCUAAAAUUUUUCGCCCUCUAUUUUGUUUUAUGCACUCUAUUUGCUCUAACGGAAGCUAACGUAGCACGUCACGUAUCAUGCCACAUUAUUUAAAGUCAACAGUUUGCUUGACUGCAAAACCUCCCUAAAUUUAGUGAUCUUUUUCAUGCUCUUCUUCUUUUAGCCCCAAUUUCCACCUGAAUAAAAUUGUUACAGCCUAAGUCUCCAUUCAGUCCAUUAGAUUAUGUUCACAAAAUCCUCUUAUGUUAUAGGACAAUGAUACU